rnacentral:rRNA from 1 species
GUGGGGAAUUUUGGACAAUGGGCGAAAGCCUGAUCCAGCCAUGCCGCGUGCAGGAUGAAGGCCUUCGGGUUGUAAACUGCUUUUGUACGGAACGAAACGGCUCUUUCUAAUAAAGGGGGCUAAUGACGGUACCGUAAGAAUAAGCACCGGCUAACUACGUGCCAGCAGCCGCGGUAAUACGUAGGGUGCGAGCGUUAAUCGGAAUUACUGGGCGUAAAGCGUGCGAAGGCGGUGAUGUAAGACAGAUGUGAAAUCCCCGGGCUCAACCUGGGAACUGCAUUUGUGACUGCAAGGCUAGAGUACGGCAGAGGGGGAUGGAAUUCCGCGUGUAGCAGUGAAAUGCGUAGAUAUGCGGAGGAACACCAAUGGCGAAGGCAAUCCCCUGGGCCUGUACUGACGCUCAUGCACGAAAGCGUGGGGAGCAAACAGGAUUAGAUACCCCGGUAGUCC